GUGGGGAAUAUUGGGCAAUGGAUGCAAGUCUGACCCAGCCAUCCCGCGUGCCGGAAGAAGGCCCUCAGGGUUGUAAACGGCUUUUGACGGUGAAGAAUCGACAGGAUGCGUCCUGUUUUGACGGUAGCCGUUGAAUAAGCACCGGCUAACUCCGUGCCAGCAGCCGCGGUAAUACGGAGGGUGCGAGCGUUGUCCGGAUUUAUUGGGUUUAAAGGGUGCGUAGGCUGGAAGGUCAGUCAGCGGUGAAAAGCUGUCGCUUAACGAUAGUCUUGCCGCAGAUACUUCCUUUCUUGGAUGAGGAGGAGGCCACUGGAACGGAUGGUGUAGCGGUGAAAUGCAUAGAUAUCAUCCAGAACACCGAUUGCGAAGGCAGGUGGCUGUACCUUAAUCGACGCUGAUGCACGAAAGCAUGGGGAGCAAACAGGAUUAGAAACCCGGGUAGUCC
rnacentral:rRNA from 1 species